GAUGAAGAACGUAGCGAAAUGCGAUACGUAAUGUGAAUUGCAGAAUUCAGUGAAUCAUCGAAUCUUUGAACGCAUAUUGCGCUCUCUGGUAUUCCGGAGAGCAUGCUUGUUUGAGUAUCAGUAAACACCUCAACUCCCUUUUCUUUUUUGAAAUUGGAGCUGGACUUGAGUGAUCCCAACGCUUUCUUCCAAGAAAGUGGCGGGUUGCUUGAAAUGCAGGUGCAGCUGAACUUUUCUCUGAGCUAUAAGCAUAUCUAUUUAGUCUGCCUAAAAAACAGAUUAUUACCUUUGCUGCAGCUAACAUAAAGGAGACUAGUUCUUGUGCUGACUGAUGCAGGAUUCACAGAGACAGCUUCGGCUGACUUUGUAAACUCGAUCUCAAAUCAGUAAGACUACCCGCUGAACUUAAGCAUAUCAAUAAGCGGAGGA
rnacentral:misc_RNA from 1 species